rfam:Shewanella baltica OS195, complete genome.
CGAGUUGGCCAGACAGUCGCCGCGUUCGCAAGAACGGGGAGGAAAGUCCGGGCUCCAAAGAGCGGGGUGCCAGGUAACGCCUGGGCGGUGCGAACCGACGACAAGUGCAACAGAGAGUAGACCGCCUGCCUGAUUUUAUCAGGUCGGUAAGGGUGAAAGGGUGCGGUAAGAGCGCACCGUGCGGCUAGCAAUAGUUCGUAGCAAGGUAAACUCCACCCGGAGCAAGACCAAAUAGGGUUCCGUAUGGCGUGGCUCGCGUUGGAACCGGGUAGGUCGCUUGAGCCUGUGAGCGAUUGCAGGCCUAGAUGAAUGACUGUCCAAGACAGGACCCGGCUUAUCGGCCAACUCACCUC